UCUUUCUUUCCAGGAUAUCUUGUUCUCUCUGGCAGUACGGCGUUCUUCAGUUUGUCAGGUGAAGCGGGAGUGUUGUCUGUUGGUUUGUAGUUUCAACAGGUGGUUGUUCAGAAGUGUGGCGUUUCUGUGCGGGUUAAGAAGCCCACUGUGAAGUUUGCAGCUCUUCAAGUAUGUGGGAAGAAACAGAAAGUGAAGCUGCCAUCUUCUUCUGGAGAGCGUGGACAAUAAAUGUGCUAAACCCUU